CAGGCUCAUCAACAUAAGGCUCAUGAAACAACGCAGUAUGUGAACCUAAAGACCCAUCAACAAAACCCUUGACACCACCCAAGUAAAUCCACGGGCUCACAACCUGACCCAUUUUGUGGAUAAGAUCGUGUAGAGAUGACCAUGUUUCCAUUGGAAAAAAUAAGCAAACCCUGAUCGUCAUCUUCCCUGAAGAAUCUGCCCACUGAUA
rnacentral:misc_RNA from 1 species